rnacentral:rRNA from 1 species
CCAAUAGCGUAUAUUAAAGUUGUUGCAGUUAAAAAGCUCGUAGUUGAAUUUCGGGAUCAAUAUUUCGGUCAUGCCGUUGGUAUGCACUGUUAUCAUUGAUUUCUCACCUUCUAAAGAACCGUAAUGCCAUUAAUUUGGUGUUACGGGGAAUUAGGACUGUUACCUUGAAAAAAUUAGAGUGUUUAAAGCAGGCUCACGCUUGAAUACAUUAGCAUGGAAUAAUGAAAUAGGACAUCCGAUUCUAUUUUGUUGGUUUCUAGGAUCGAUGUAAUGAUUAAUAGGGAUAGUUGGGGGCAUUAGUAUUCAAUCGUCAGAGGUGAAAUUCUUGGAUUUAUUGAAGACUAACUACUGCGAAAGCAUUUGCCAAGGAUGUUUUCAUUAAUCAAGAACGAAAGUUAGGGGAUCGAAGACGAUCAGAUACCGUCGUAGUCUUAACCAUAAACUAUGCCGACUAGGGAUCGGAUGAUGUUAAUUUUUUAAUGACUCAUUCGGCGCCUUACG